GAUGAACGCUGGCGGCGUGCCUAAUACAUGCAAGUCGAGCGAAUGGAUUAAGAGCUUGCUCUUAUGAAGUUAGCGGCGGACGGGUGAGUAACACGUGGGUAACCUGCCCAUAAGACUGGGAUAACUCCGGGAAACCGGGGCUAAUACCGGAUAACAUUUUGAACCGCAUGGGUCGAAAUUGAAAGGCAGCUUCGGCUGUCACUUAUGGAUGGCCCCCCGUCGCAUUAGCUAGUUGGUGAGGUAACGGCUCACCAAGGCAACGAUGCGUAGCCGACCUGAGAGGGUGAUCGGCCACACUGGGACUGAGACACGGCCCAGACUCCUACGGGAGGCAGCAGUAGGGAAUCUUCCGCAAUGGACGAAAGUCUGACGGAGCAACGCCGCGUGAGUGAUGAAGGCUUUCGGGUCGUAAAACUCCGUUGUUAGGGAAGAACAAGUGCUAGUUGAAUAAGCUGGCACCUUGACGGUACCUAACCAGAAAGCCACGGCUAACUACGUGCCAGCAGCCGCGGUAA
rnacentral:rRNA from 1 species